rnacentral:piRNA from 1 species
UAGAAGUGAGGGAGGAGCACAGUGGUCUGGU